rnacentral:rRNA from 1 species
CAUGACACCUGCCCUGUGCUUGAAGGUUAAGAGGAGAUGUCAUCGCAAGAGAAGCAUUGAAUUGAAGCCCCAGUAAACUGCGGCCGUAACUAUAACGGUCCUAAGGUAGCGAAAUUCCUUGUCGGGUAAGUUCCGACCUGCACGAAAGGUGUAACGAUCUGAGCGCUGUCUCGACAGUAGACCCGGUGAAAUUGUGGUACUGGUAAAGACGCCAGUUACCCGCAGUAGGACGGAAAGACCCCGUGGAGCUUUACUGUAACUUGAUAUUGGAUUUCGGUAAGGUAUGUAUAGGAUAGGUGGGAGACAUUGAAAUAUGGUCGCCAGACUAUAUGGAGUCGUCCUUGGAAUACCACCCUUACCUUGCUGGGAUUCUAACCGCGAGCGUUGAACCACGACGCGGGACAUUGUCAGGCGGGCAGUUUGACUGGGGCGGUCGCCUCCCAAAGAGUAACGGAGGCGCGCGAAGGUCACCUCAGGGUGAAUGGAAAACACCCAGAGAGCGUAAGGGUAUAAGGUGGCUUAACUGUGAGACAGACAUGUCGAGCAGAAACGAAAGUUGGUCCUAGUGAUCCGGUGGUCCUGAGUGGAAAGGCCAUCGCUCAUCGGAUAAAAGCUACCCCGGGGAUAACAGGCUGAUGCCGCCCGAGAGUUCCUAUCGACGGCGGCGUUUGGCACCUCGAUGUCGGCUCAUCGCAUCCUGGGGCUGAAGCAGGUCCCAAGGGUUGGUCUGUUCGCCCAUUAAAGCGGUACGUGAGCUGGGUUCAGAACGUCGUGAGACAGUUCGGUCCCUAUCCACUGUGGGCGCAAGGUAUUUGAAAGGAACUGUCCCUAGUACGAGAGGACCGGGAUGGACGAACCGCUAGUGAACCAGUUGUUCUGCCAGGAGCACACGCUGGGUAGCCAUGUUCGGAUCGGAUAACCGCUGAAGGCAUCUAAGCGGGAAGCCGGCCUUGAGAUGAGAUACCUCAUUACGGAAGUAGAUAAGGCGUCCGGCAGACGACCGGAUAGAUAGGUUGGGGGUGUAAGAGGGUAACGCCCUUUGAGCCGACCAAUACUAAUACGCCGAAGCCUUAACCUC